UGAGCACUGAGCACCUGCGGUCUUGUGAGCACUGUGCACCUGCGGUCUUGUGAGCACUGUGCACCUGCGCUCCUGUCUGGCCUCGUUCUCUCUUGAACUGAGAAUUCGCCAGCAUGGCGAGGAGACCGCCUCCUGCCGUGGGCCCCGCGGGCGCCCAUGGAAGGUCCGCAGCCUCCUGUGUCCCUUCCUGUGUGCACGGGGGGAGGCAGGGUUAGAUGUGAGUCGUCUGUAAGCACUGGAGAGGACCUCCAGUUGUCGGCACCCUUCAGAAUAUGCACUGUGUGUAUAUUCCUUCUAAAUCUAUUUGUUUUAUGUUGCGGGUGUAUCUGCACCCCACCUGUGUGCCUGCUGCUCAUGGAGGCCACAGAAGCCAUCGGUCUGGAACUAGAGUCACAGGCAGUUGUAAGCCAACACGUGCUGGACAUCUGCUGGCGUCACAACAGCAGCCGGUGCUGCUUUUAGCUGCUGAGCCAUCUCUGAUGGGGACGGUGCUUCUGUGUAUGUUCAUCUUACUGAUUGUUGACUAAAGUACUGUUGGCCAAUGAGGCAGCAAGUUAGGUGGAACUAGGAGUCAAGCAGGAUUCUGGGAAAUGUAGUAGAGAAGUGGUGAUCCAGGCAGGAAGUGACAUGGCAGGGAGACUCCUAUAUAAACAAGGGCAAGAAGGAGGUGGGCCCCUUCGCUCUUCCUCCAGAGUCACCAUGUGAGCCCGAGAUAAGGACGCCAAUGGAAGGCAUCAGAUAAGCCUUAUAAAAUAUAUGGAUUUAUGAUAAUUAAGACUGAGCUAACAGAUGAGAAUCCUAGUAAUUGGCCAAGCAACCUUUGUACCUAAUAGAAGUCUCUGUGUGUUACCUGGGGCCCUAACACAGCGAGCAGAACUCAGGCAGGUGGUGAGAAGAUUUAUCGUAACAUCUCUAUAGCCCUUACAUUUGUCACUGUUGUGAUGAAAUUCAGGACAAGAAGUCACUCGAGGAAGGAGGGCUUUAUUGUGGCUCACAGUUUUGAGGGUGCAGUCCAUCCUGGAAUGGAAGUCAUGGCGGCAGGAGCGGGAGGCAGCAGGUCACAUCACAUCCACAGUCCGGAAGCAGAGAAGAGGGUGCUGGCACUUACCUGCUUCUCCUUUUAUUCCGUCCAGAAACCAGCCCGUGUAAUAUAUUAUGUCAACUACACACGCUCAAGGGGAAUCUUCUCACCUCUGUUAGGCUAGAAAGUCCCUCAGACUUGCUCAGAAGUUCAUCUCCAAGGUAGGUCUAAAGGCGUGUGCCACUACUGCCCCGGGAGUAAUCCCAUCUCUAAAGAAAAGAAAAGUUCAUUGGUGGUGGCAACACACCUUUAAUCCCAGCACUUGGAGGCAGAGGCAGGCAGAUCUCUGUGAGUUCAAGGCCAGCCUGGUCUACAAAGUGCCAGGACAGACUCCAAAGCUACCCAGAGAAACCCUGUUUUGGAAAUUUUUUAAAAAAGUAAACAGAUGAACAGCACCUGACCUCUGAGCAAACAAAAAUGCUUAUCACUGCUGAAGAUGGGUGGGAACUUCUUACACACUUGAAUUCUCUCACAGGAGGAUGGAUAGCAGGAAGAAAGAGAGAGAGAGGAAGAAGAGACGGAUGGAGGGGGGAGAGAGGAAGAGAGAAUGAAUGACAAUCUGGGGAAGAGAACGGCCUUUGGAGUUGUGCCCCAAGCGACCUGCUUGGUUACUUGCCAGUGGACUAGCGCAUGUAUGAAAAGAUUACCCUUAGGAGCCACGUAACUCUCUGUGGUUCAACCAUGCAGGAGCCAAGUCUUCAACACGUGAUGGGCUUCUGUGGGGACACUUAAACGAAAACCACAAACCACCACAAGACCAAGGGACGAAAGUGCAGCUGAGAUGGCUCAGCUGAUGAGUGCAUUGCGGCCAGGCCUGAUUAUGUGAGUUUGAUCUUGGGGUCCCACGUGGUAGAAGGAAAGAACCGACUCCUGCAAGUUGUCCUCUGACCUCCAAACAUGUUCUCUUGAAAGACCCCCGAAGAGGUACUUUCGUAGAAGGAGACCCGUACCCAGGAAUCAGCGAGACCACGAACUUGGAUGCAAACUGCAAGAGGUUUUAUUAGAGACGCGGGUACCUGGGGCGACUUAGCUUCUGUGUGGCUAAGCGCGCUGAGCCAAGGGAAAGGGGUCCUUAUAUAGGGAAAAAGGCGCAAGCUAGAAGCAGGGAUUCUAUUGGAUAAUUCUAAUGAGGCAUUGUACAGAGCUAUUCCCAUUGGUCAAUGUAAAUGAGGCGCUAUACAGGGUUAUUCAAAUGAGGUGAAACACAGAGUCUUUCAAAUGAGGUAAAGUACAGAAUCAUUUCUAUUGGAUGGUUCAAAUGAGACACAGAGCCAUUCCAGAUCAGCAUAUUCUCAAGGUCUGGUGUCUGGUACAACAGACUCAAUUCCCUCCGCGUCCGGACAGCUGACCUUGGGACGGAGGGUGGGGGUGUGGGAGCGGGGCUCCAGGCCGGCCUAACUGGUGCUCUCGCCCUCGGGCCAACGCACCUGGUGCUCGCCCUCGGGCCGGCCCACCUGGUGCUCGUUGCUCGAGGCGCGGUGCCAGGCGGGGCGGGCCGGGGGCGCGAGCCCUGUUGGGGUGUAGGCUUGGGAGGCCCUGGCAGCUCCGCGGCCCUCGUGUCCUUGGCCUUGGAGGCGGCUCCCCGCUCGCAGCUCCUAGACAAGCAGCACCGCUGCUCUCCCAGCUCAAGUUCCCCUUCCAGGCGCCGCCCGCGCUGCACUCUCCAGCCCCUGGCCGAACCCUGGCCCUGCCCUGCUCAGUCGCCGCGCUGCCCUCGGUCAACUGCUCCUCCCGCCUGCUCCAGAGAGAACACCCAGCACCGGCACAGGCGGGGAAGACAGAGGGGCAGGGGGCAUGCAGAAGUAUUCCGAGCGGGUCUUUCACUCUGUGGCGUCAUCACACCCCACCAUAUACAUGGCAUACUCGAAAUAAUAAAGCAGACAGUAUCUGAGUGUUGAGCCAAAUGAAUACCCUGAGAAACCCCCUCGUCAGUCAACACAGUGCUGUGCAGAUCUCAUCUGACAACACCCAGCCCCAAGAAGCCCGCCAGGGUUGGAGUUGCUGAGCACAGUUCUGUUCGGUCCGUGCAAUAUGAAAACACUGGGUGUUGUUUCAAAGCAAAGUCUGUGGGGUGGGAUACCCCUCUGCUCUGGGAAGAAUGAUAUUGGGUGGACGUGAGCUGCUGUGCAGAUGACCCUCGGGUGACAGGACUCAGACACAGAGAUUGGCAUUGUGACGCUUGGGGUUAGGACAACACUGUUGGGAGCUGGCAGAGCAUUUAGACAUGGGGAAUUCCAAUCUGCCUGCUUUAAUGACUUGACGUUAGGAUCACUGAGAACAUGACUUGCAAGGGCCCUGAGACUGGCCCCUUCCUCUUUGUCUUUCACAACCUAGCCCGUGAUAAGUCAAGCAGUAUUUAUUUAUUUGUUUGUUUAUUUAUUAUGUACACAGUGUUCUACCUGCAUGCAUUUGGGCACCAGGUCUCAUUACAGAUGGUUGUGAGCCACCAUGUGGUUGCUGGGAAUUGAGCUCAGGACCUCUGGAAGAGUAGCCAGUGCUCUUAACCUCUGAGCCAUCUCUCCAGCAGUUUGGCUGUGGCCUCAUUACAGGCCCAAAAGGCCCAAGGAGAAUCAGCUGUGGAUAGGGGCCUCUGGAACUAGGAGACAAAGUGGACUUUUUCUACUUGCAAGUUAAUUAUUUCAGGCAUUUUGUCACAAGCGUGGAUAAUUCUGUUUAUAUGAAAUACCUAGUGAAGGCAAAACCAUGAAGCACAUUAGUGGAUAUUGAGGCAGGAGUAACUGCAGGAGACCAAGAGAAGCAAACGUAGCGUUUUAGAUGUUGGAAAACAGAGUUGGGGUGGCUCUAAGUGUAUCAGUUUACUAAAACUCACCAAGUUGUGUGCUGUGAUUGCUGACGUUUGGGGUAUGCAAAUUAUGCCUAAAGUGGAGCUGGGUGGUUUUGUUUUGUUUUUAAUUAAAAGAUUCUUUGAGGAUCAACCUGUAACUGCUCAAUGUGAGAGUCACAGAAGCCAUCAUGCCUUUCAAGGGCGGGAGACGAUACAAUUAUGUCAAGCCAGACUUGGAAACCUUCAAAAACUAGAAUAUGCAAUUUCUAAACAUAAUUCUUAUGUUAGCUCACAAUACCAAUGCUGGGCCAAGAAUAUUAGCAUGUUAAAUUUAGGGCGACAAAUGGAGCACUUUCCUCCUUUGGAGGGAUGGUGAUGGGCCUGGGGGCCAGCAGGAGCUCUCUGAGCUUUUCUGGACUGGGCAGCUGUUUAGGGCAGAUCCUGGCAUGAGGAAAGGUAUUCAGGGUGUAGACUUAAAUACCUUCCCUAACAACUGUGGCAUUGCUGAGGGUACACCACCGUCACCACAGAAAUGCCGGCAAACUAUAAUAGGAAAAUCCAUCUUCAGAGGCAAAAGAAUGAAUGGAGCAUUCUAGAACUGGCAUUUCUGUCCCUGGCGAUUGGUUCUAUACUGUGCGCAUCAGAUUCUCCUGAUUUGUUAGAUAGGUUACUAGGCUGGGUCCAUGGAGCUGUGACCCUGAAUUUCUGGGAAAGAGUCUGAAUCCUAUCAAGCCCUGUAGGGGUGAAACUGACACCCCACAAGGGAGCACAGGCUGCAGAUGAGAGUAGCUGAUGGCGGCUCUGCUGUUUCAGUCUUGGGGAGAAGUUGGAUUUGCUUCAUAGCCUGGUCUCACACACGCACGCAUGCACGCACGCACCUCUUCCUCCUGAUUGAUUGACCCACCUGUGGUGACUUAUUACCGUGUCUGAAGAGUUUAAUUCAGGCACUAAACAUUUGCCUGCUAAUUUUAAGGUCGUUCUUACAUAGGGCCUGUAGAGGAGACUGAAGGGCUCCCUGGUUGAAACCCCUGCUGAGGUGGGGAAGAAAGCCUGAUUUGGCCAAGUUUGGCAAUCCAAUCCUGUUCAGAACCCUGAUAAACUCACCUGAUGUCACGUGGGAGAGCAGGAACGCUGUCCUUUCUGUGACACCCUGUUUUUCACUCUGCUUUUUAUACCAUCGCCCAGAGGUAGCUAGUGGUGACCAAUAACUUUUUCUAAGACC
ensembl:lncRNA